rnacentral:rRNA from 1 species
CGUGUAGGUGGCUUGGUAAGCCGCGUGUGAAAUCCCGGGGCUCAACCCCGGAACGGCACGCGGGACUGUCAGGCUAGAGCAUGGUAGAGGCGAGUGGAAUUCCUGGUGUAGCGGUGGAAUGCGUAGAGAUCAGGAAGAACACCGGUGGCGAAGGCGGCUCGCUGGGCCAUUGCUGACACUGAGGCGCGAAAGCGUGGGGAGCAAACAGGAUUAGAUACCCUGGUAGUCCACGCUGUAAACGAUGGGCACUAGGCGUCGGGGGGAGCGACCCUCCCGGUGCCGUCGCUAACGCAAUAAGUGCCCCGCCUGGGGAGUACGGCCGCAAGGUUGAA